rnacentral:rRNA from 1 species
GACGAACGCUGGCGGCGUGCCUAAUACAUGCAAGUUGAGCGAUGAAGAUUGGUGCUUGCACCAAUUUGGAGAGCAGCGCACGGGUGAGUAACGCGUGGGGAAUCUGCCUUUGAGCGGGGGACAACAUUUGGAAACGAAUGCUAAUACCGCAUAACCACUUUAAACAUAAGUUUUAAGUUUGAAAGAUGCAAUUGCAUCACUCAAAGAUGAUCCCGCGUUGUAUUAGCUAGUUGGUGAGGUAAAGGCGCACCAAGGCGAUGAUACAUAGCCGACCUGAGAGGGCGGGCAGCCACACUGAGAGGGAGACACGGCCCAAUCGGCUACGGGAGGGAGCCGGAGUGAUACGUCAGGAAGGGGUGAGAGUCUGACCGAGCUAGGCCGAGGGAGGGAAGAAGAUUGUCGGAUCGGAAAACACUGUUGGUGGGGAGGAAAGCUGGUGCGAGUGGGAAGCACAGCAAGUGACGGUAACUGGUAAGAAAGCGACGGCUAACUACGUG